GAUGAACGCUAGCGGCAGGCUUAAUACAUGCAAGUCGAGGGGUAGCAAGAUUGUAGCAAUACAAUUGUUGACGACCGGCAAACGGGUGCGGAACACGUACACAACCUUCCUACAAGUGGGGAAUAGCCCAGAGAAAUUUGGAUUAAUACCCCGUAACAUAGCGAUGUGGCAUCACAUUGCUAUUAUAGCUUCGGCGCUUGUUGGUGGGUGUGCGGCUGAUUAGAUAGUUGGCGGGGUAACGGCCCACCAAGUCUACGAUCAGUAGCCGAUGUGAGAGCAUGAUCAGCCACACGGGCACUGAGACACGGGCCCGACUCCUACGGGAGGCAGCAGUAAGGAAUAUUGGACAAUGGACGCAAGUCUGAUCCAGCCAUGCCGCGUGAAGGAUUAAGGUCCUCUGGAUUGUAAACUUCUUUUAUAAGGGACGAAAAAAGGUCUUUCUAGAUCGUCUGACGGUACCUUAUGAAUAAGCACCGGCUAACUCCGUGCCAGCAGCCGCAGUAAAAC
rnacentral:rRNA from 1 species